rnacentral:tRNA from 1 species
GGAGAGAUGACCGAGUCAGGCCGAUGGUGCUUCCCUGCUAAGGAAGUGAGGGCGCAAGCCCUCCGAGGGUUCAAAUCCCUCUCUCUCCGCCA